rnacentral:lncRNA from 10 species
CCGCUUUGGUGGGAAGGACCUCCCUUCCCCCUUAUAGAAACACUUUCUCCAGGCCGGGCCGGGCUUGGUAAACCUCAGCCGUGCCUGGGUAGAGGACGCCGGGCUGGGCCGAGCGGGGGUGGAAUGAGGGCGUCUAGAACAGAGAAAACUAAGUAGGAUGGGGUCGUCCCCCCAGUAAUCUGGAAAACAGUUACAGCAACAGGCUCCUCUCAUCAGACGGCAGUGCUGGUCGUUUCCUCACUGGUUUGCGGGGAAGGCUGGGCAGAAAAAGGAUGCAACCUUGUUCUCAACCACUUGCUAUCUCGAUAGGGUCUUGCUGUGUCACCCAGAUUGGAGUGCAGUGGUGUGAUCACAGCUCACUGCAGCCUUGACCUCUAGGCUCAAGUGAGCCCCUACCAAGCAGCUGGGACUACAAGUGCGCACCACCAUACCCAGCUAAUUUUUUCAUUUUUUGUAGAGACAGGGUCUCACUGUAUUGCUCAGGCUGGUCUUGAACUCCUGAGAUCAAGCGAUCCUCCCACUGUGGCCUCCCAAAGUGCUGGGAUUAUAGAUGUGAGCUACCAUGCCUGGCCUCAAAACAUUUUUGUAAUCUGGCUGUUUUCCAGUUGGAUGGACUCUGAGUGCAAUCUCAAUGUCUUUCCUGAUCAGUAAGAGGAAGAAAGGAGCUGUUGUAUAAUCUUUGGUCCACUUGCUAUAUAGGAAUAGAUCUUUACUGCUACAUAUACAUAAUUCUGUACGGAACAGUCAUGUUCCUUGGAUUCUGACAGCAUCGCCAAUAUGUGCUUUGAAACCUCCUACCUGGCACAGAUAUGA